UACGAAGGGGGCUAGCGUUGCUCGGAAUCACUGGGCGUAAAGGGCGCGUAGGCGGCCAUUCAAGUCAGAGGUGAAAGCCCAAGGCUCAACCUUGGAACUGCCUUUGAUACUGUUUGGCUUGAGACCGGUAGAGGUAAGUGGAACUGCGAGUGUAGAGGUGAAAUUCGUAGAUAUUCGCAAGAACACCAGUGGCGAAGGCGGCUCACUGGCCCGAUACUGACGCUGAGGCACGAAAGCGUGGGGAGCAAACAGGG
rnacentral:rRNA from 1 species